CCAGCUCCAAUAGCGUAUAUUAAAGUUGUUGCAGUUAAAAGGUUCGUAGUUGAAUUUCUGAGCGCGACGGCGGUCCGCCUUCGGGUGUGCACUUGCUCGUUCGCGUUCAAACCUUGUGGAGAAGGCGUGUGGCCUUUACUGGUUGUGCGUUCGGAUCCACAUCAAUUACUGUGAGCAAAUUAGGGUGUUUAAAGCGGGCAUUUCGCUUGAAUACAUUAGCAUGGAAUAAUGAGAUAGGACUUUGGUGCUAUUUCGUUGGUUGCGUGCCAAAGUAAUGAUUAAUAGGGACAGUUGGGGGUAUUCAUAUUUGAUUGUCAGAGGUGAAAUUCUUGGAUUUAUCAAAGAUGAACAACUGCGAAAGCAUUUACCAAGGAUGUUUUCAUUAAUCAAGAUCGAAAGUCAGGGGAUCGAAGAGGAUUAGAUACCCUCGUAGUCUUGACCAUAAACUAUGCCGACUCAGGAUUGGCGGUGCUCUUCAAUGUCUCCGCCAGCACUGUAUGAUAAAUCAAAGUCUUUGGGUUCCGGGGGGAGUAUGGUCGCAAGGCUGAAACUUAAAGGAAUUGACGGAAGGGCACACCAGGAGUGGAGCCUGCGGCUUAAUUCGACUCAAC
rnacentral:rRNA from 1 species